rnacentral:rRNA from 1 species
UACAGAGGGUGCAAGCGUUGUCCGGAUUUAUUGGGCGUAAAGAGCUCGUAGGCGGUGUGUCACGUCGGCCGUGAAAACCUGCAGCUUAACUGUGGGCGUGCGGUCGAUACGGGCAUCACUGGAGUUCGGCAGGGGAGACUGGAAUUCCUGGUGUAGCGGUGAAAUGCGUAGAUAUCAGGAGGAACACCGGUGGUGUAGACGGCUUUCUGGACCGUAACUGACGCUGAGACACGAAAGCGUGGGUAGCAAACAGG